CUUACACAUGCAACUCGAACGGUAGCACAUAGGAGUUUGCUCCUUGGGUGACGAGUGGCGGACGGGUGAGUAAUGCUUGGGAAUCUGGCUUAUGGAGGGGGAUAACUACUGGAAACGGUAGCUAAUACCGCGUAAUGUCUUAGGACUAAAGGGUGGGACCAUUUGGCCACCUGCCAUAAGAUGAGCCCAAGUGGGAUUAGGUAGUUGGUGAGGUAAAGGCUCACCAAGCCCGCGAUCUCUAGCUGGUCUGAGAGGAUGACCAGCCACACUGGAACUGAGACACGGUCCAGACUCCUACGGGAGGCAGCAGUGGGGAAUAUUGCACAAUGGGGGGAACCCUGAUGCAGCCAUGCCGCGUGAAUGAAGAAGGCCUUCGGGUUGUAAAGUUCUUUCGGUGACGAGGAAGGCGAUUGUUUUAAUAGAACAGUCGAUUGACGUUAAUCACAGAAGAAGCACCGGCUAACUCCGUGCCAGCAGCCGCGGUAAUACGGGGGGUGCGAGCGUUAAUCGGAAUAACUGGGCGUAAAGGGCACGCAGGCGGUUGUUUAAGUGAGGUGUGAAAGCCCCGGGCUUAACCUGGGAAUUGCAUUUCAGACUGAACAACUAGAGUACUUUAGGGAGGGGUAGAAUUCCACGUGUAGCGGUGAAAUGCGUAGAGAUGUGGAGGAAUACCGAAGGCGAAGGCAGCC
rnacentral:rRNA from 1 species